UAAACAUAGAUUUCUGUGAUG
rnacentral:piRNA from 1 species